rnacentral:rRNA from 1 species
GACGAACGCUGGCGGCGUGCUUAACACAUGCAAGUCGAACGGAAAGGCCCUGCUUGCAGGGUACUCGAGUGGCGAACGGGUGAGUAACACGUGGGUGAUCUGCCCUGCACUUCGGGAUAAGCCUGGGAAACUGGGUCUAAUACAGGAUAGGAGCCAUCUUUAGUGUGAUGGUUGGAAAGUUUUUUCGGUGUAGGAUGAGCUCGCGGCCUAUCAGCUUGUUGGUGGGGUAAUGGCCUACCAAGGCGGCGACGGGUAGCCGGCCUGAGAGGGUGGACGGCCACAUUGGGACUGAGAUACGGCCCAGACUCCUACGGGAGGCAGCAGUGGGGAAUAUUGCACAAUGGGCGCAAGCCUGAUGCAGCGACGCCGCGGGGGGGAUGACGGCCUUCGGGUUGUAAACUCCUUUCGCUAGGGACGAAGCUUUUUGUGACGGUACCUAGAGAAGAAGCACCGGCUAACUACGUG